AUGCUUCUGCAGUUUGACAGGGAAGCGGAAGAAAACAUCAAGGAGAAGCGGACGAGAAUUGUAAUAAUGUAUCUUUUGAUGGCAAUUAGAAAAGUGUUUUCGCAGGGGAGGCCUCUUCUACGAGCAAACAUGGCUACAGAAAGGCAUGCUGGCAAGAUAUACACCCGAGCAAUGUUCAAGCAGUUUGGGCAUAUAGUUUACAAGUGUGGUGCUUACCGGGUGGAAGAGAUUGAGAAAGGGAAGCUAUAUGUCGCAAUCCAUAUGUAUGCAAGUCGUAGAGAGAAGUGGUGCAGGAUUUCGUACAAGGUGACAGUGUUGAACGGUUGA
rnacentral:rRNA from 1 species